rnacentral:rRNA from 1 species
GAUUAUGGCUCAGGAUGAACGCUAGCUACAGGCUUAACACAUGCAAGUCGAGGGGCAGCAUGGUCUUAGCUUGCUAAGAUUGAUGGCGACCGGCGCACGGGUGAGUAACGCGUAUCCAACCUUCCCUAUAGUAGGGGAUAGCCCGUAGAAAUGCGGAUUAAUACCCUAUGUUGUAUUUUGAGGACAUCUGACGAAUACCAAAGGUUUACCGCUAUAGGAUGGGGAUGCGUCUGAUUAGGUAGUCGGCGGGGUAACGGCCCACCGAGCCAACGAUCAGUAGGGGUUCUGAGAGGAAGGUCCCCCACAUUGGAACUGAGACACGGUCCAAACUCCUACGGGAGGCAGCAGUGAGGAAUAUUGGUCAAUGGGCGAGAGCCUGAACCAGCCAAGUAGCGUGCCAGGAUGACGGCCCUAUGGGUUGUAAACUGCUUUUAUGCGGGGAUAAAGUGAGGGACGUGUCCCUUAUUGUAGGUACCGCAUGAAUAAGGACCGGCUAAUUCCGUGCCAGCAGCUGC